GUAGAUGUAGUUUAGCAAAACAUUAGAUUGUGAUUCUAAAAACAGGGGUUAAACCCCCCUCAUCCACC
rnacentral:tRNA from 2 species